rfam:Lupinus angustifolius cultivar Tanjil chromosome LG10, whole genome shotgun sequence.
AUACCAUGAUGAGGACAAGCUUCAAUCAGCUCAUUUAAUCUUUCCCAAGCUUCUGAGAUUGACUCCCCAUCCUUUUGAUUAAAGUUUUGGAUGAGAUGCCUAUAGUGC